CGCGGGAUUGGGGGCACGGGGGGACGGGGUGCAGCAGGCGCGAAAUCUUUACAAUGCGGGAAACCGCGAUAAGGGGAUACUGAGUGCCAGCAUAUUAUGUUGGCUGUCCACCUGUAUAAAUAGCAGGUGUUAGCAAGGGCCGGGCAAGACCGGUGCCAGCCGCCGCGGUAACACCGGCGGCCCGAGUGGUGGCCACUAUUAUUGGGUCUAAAGGGUCCGUAGCCGGUUUGAUCAGUCUUCCGGGAAAUCUGACAGCUCAACUGUUAGGCUUCCGGGGGAUACUGUCAGACUUGGGACCGGGAGAGGUAAGAGGUACUACAGGGGUAGGAGUGAAAUCUUGUAAUCCUUGUGGGACCACCAGUGGCGAAGGCGUCUUACCAGAACGGGUCCGACGGUGAGGGACGAAAGCUGGGGGCACGAACCGGAUUAGAUACCCGGGUAGUCCCAGCCGUAAACGAUGCUCGCUAGGUGUCUGGGACGGUGCGACCGUUUCAGGUGCCGCAGGGAAGCCGUGAAGCGAGCCACCUGGGAAGUACGGCCGCAAGGCUGAAACUUAAAGGAAUUGGCGGGGGAGCACUACAACGGGUGGAGCCUGCGGUUUAAUUGGACUCAACGCCGGAAAACUCACCUGGGGCGACAGCAAUAUGUAGGUCAGGCUGAAGGUCUUACCUGAAUCGCUGAGAGGAGGUGCAUGGCCGUCGUCAGUUCGUACUGUGAAGCAUCCUGUUAAGUCAGGCAACGAGCGAGACCCGUGCCCACUGUUGCCAGCAUAUCCUUAGGGAUGAUGGGUACUCUGUGGGGACCGCUGGUGCUAAACCAGAGGAAGGUGCGGGCUACGGUAGGUCAGUAUGCCCCGAAUCUCCAGGGCUACACGCGGGCUACAAUGACCGGGACAAUGGGUCCCUACCCCGAAAGGGGUUGGUAAUCUCAUAAACCCGGCCUUAGUUCGAAUUGAGGGCUGUAACUCGCCCUCAUGAAGCUGGAAUCCGUAGUAAUCGCGUUUCAAUAUAGCGCGGUGAAUACGUCCCUGCUCCUUGCACGAAUUCGCCGAAUCACUAGU
rnacentral:rRNA from 1 species